AUAACAGUACCUUGUGGGAAGAUAUAGUAUUAAUUGAAAGAAGGGGCUAUGCCACGUACCUUUUGCAUAAUGGGCUAUUAAAUAGGAGUUAGGGAAGUGCUAGUUCCCGAAGCCUUUCGAGCUACCCUUGUUAUAAGUUGGGCUGUUGCACAAUCUCACACAAGUCUGGGGUAGGAGUGACAUGCUUUUCGCGUAAGGUGAUUAUCUGGUUAGGAGCGAGGUGCAUAUAGUGCAGCCUGUGUGUAUUUCCGUGUUUGGGCACAUAUAUGCAUACAUAUAUGUGUGUUACUCUGUAGAAUGGUUUGUUCUUUAGAGUUCAUGCGCAGAGUGAGUGGUGAGGGGCCAAGCUCUUUUCACUAUAAAAAAUGUUUAGGGCAUAGUCUUAUCUGAUGCUAGGUGUGGGGUUUAUCUACUACUACCUCGCAUGCGUGGUGGUGGGUGUUCCAUGCACUAUGUUGAGAGAUAAGGAGAGAUAUGGGGGUGGGUCCCGUAAGCGAUCAGGUCCAUAAAGAGUGCGUUGUAGCUCACCGUCUUGUACAGUAAAAUUAUAGGACGUGCGUUUUUAGUUUUAGCUUCUUGUUGUGCUUUGAAAUUAAGGUGUAAAAAGGAAACACGCGGAGGGUCCAAUCUCUUUAGCAUAAGUAAUUAGAAUAGUAUAAGUAGUGUAUUAGUUUAUCGAAUUAGGUGAAUGCUGGAGUGGCUUAUAUACUUCGGUAAUAGAUGAUAAUAGAUUAAGGUAAGGAACUUGGCAAAAAGAAGCUUCGCCUGUUUACCAAAAACGCCGCCCUUCGAGUGUAAUAUGGGGGGUCGGGCCUGCCCGGUGAUACUGUUAAACGGCCGCCGUAAAGGGUGCGAAGGUAGCAAAGUCUAUAGCCCCUUAAUUGGGGGCGUGUGAAUGGUCUGACGUAGGCUUAACUGUCUCACUUUGAUUUAUAUUGAAACUUACUUUUAGGUGAAAAGGCUUAAAUCUGCAGGUUGGACGAGGAGACCCUGAUGAGCUUUAUCUAAAAAAAAGUGGCUGUCUUUUCAGUAGAGUUGGUUGGGGCAACCAAAGAGUAAAAAAAACCUCUUUUAUUACAAUAGUCUGAUGGGGUGACCCGCGAUGUGCGAUUAUCAGAGUCAGCUACCACAGGGAUAACAGCGUAAUCUUUCCUGAGAGUCCUUAUUGACGGAUGGGGUUGCGACCUCGAUGUUGAAUUAGGGCAUCCGUGGGGUGAAGAGGCUCCAGAAGGUGGGUCUGUUCGACCAUAAAAGCCCUACAUGAUUUGAGUUCAGACCGGCGUGAGCCAGGUCAGUUUCUAUCUUCCUGCUGUUAAAAUAAGGGCUUACUUGUACGAAAGGACCGCGAGCCAUGACUAAGUCGAGGUUCUA
rnacentral:rRNA from 1 species